AUGGAGUCUAAGGAUGCUACAUUCUUCGAGGAUAUUUUUCCUAUGAGAGAUAUGCAAAGCACUUCUAGACAGGAAUCUGAGGAGACUCCUGAACCUGCCAUCCCUAUGGAAUAUUAUGAACAAACACAUGAUGAAAAUCCUGAGGAGGAUGACGAGGAAACCCUUGGUAGGGGCAAGAGACAAAGGACUGCAAAGACCUUUGGUGAUGAUUUCUUCGUGUACCUCGUGGAUGAUACUCCCAUUUCUAUUUCAGAAGCGUAUGCCUCUCCAGAAGCUGACUACUGGAAGGAUGCGGUCCGUAGCGAGAUGGAUUCCAUCAUGGCUAAUGGGACAUGGGAGAUCACUGAGCGUCCGUAUGGUUGCAAACCAUUAGGAUGUAAGUGGGUGUUCAAGAAGAAGCUUAGGCCCGAUGGUACGAUUGAAAAGUACAAGGCUAGGCUUGUGGCCAUGGGCUAUGACCAGAAAGAAGAGCAAGAUUUCUUCGACACUUAUUCACCUGUGGCUAGACUGACCACCAUUCGAGUAUUACUCUCGUUGGCAGCCUCGCAUGGUCUUCUCGUCCACCAGAUGGAUGUUAAGACGGCUUUUCUGAAUGGAGAGCUAAACGAGGAAAUCUACAUGCAACAACCAGAUGGCUUUGUGAUAGAUGGUCAGGAAAGAAAGGUGUGUAGGUUGCUGAAAUCUUUAUAUGUCCUGAAGCAAGCACCUAAGCAAUGGCAUGAUAAGUUUAAUACAACUCUGACAUCUGUUGGUUUCGUGUUAAUGAGGCUGACAAAUGUGUAUACUAUCGCCAUGGUGGGGGCGAAGGAGUUGUACUGUGCUUGUAUGUUGAUGACAUACUGA
rnacentral:rRNA from 1 species